rnacentral:rRNA from 1 species
UACGUAGGGCGCAAGCGUUGUCCGGAUUUAUUGGGCGUAAAGAGCUCGUAGGCGGCUUGUUACGUCGACUGUGAAAACCCGCGGCUCAACUGCGGGCCUGCAGUCGAUACGGGCAGGCUAGAGUUCGGUAGGGGAGACUGGAAUUCCUGGUGUAGCGGUGAAAUGCGCAGAUAUCAGGAGGAACACCGGUGGCGAAGGCGGGUCUCUGGGCCGAUACUGACGCUGAGGAGCGAAAGCGUGGGGAGCGAACAGG